rnacentral:lncRNA from 1 species
CUCUGGUGGAGAUCCCCUGCGAGAAUCAACGUGGUUCAGAGCAGAGGGCUGGGGCGCCCCUCCGGCCACUCCACGAGGAGAGAAGGAAAGGCAGUGCCACAGCCGUGAGGCCUCUGUGCCCCCUGGAAAAUGCCAAGGGCGGUUCUGCGCCAGGUGCGGGCGACAGUGAGCGCAUUCAGCACCCUGGACAGCGUCGCGGGCGGUGGCCUGUGCGGCGGCGUCUGCGCUCCACCCGCUCGGCGCUGCCCGGCUCCGCAGUUCCGCCGCGCGGCGCCGUGGCCGGUGCCUGCGCCGCUCCGCCUGCCGCUCCGGACCUGCGGCUGCCUCCGGAUCUCUAGGACUCUGCGGGCGCACCCGCUCCACCGCGGCGCUUUCUCCCGCUUGCGCCCGCCGCCCUUGGCCCGCCGGGGACCUGGCGAGCUGCUGGCGCCAAGGGCCGGGGAGAGGCGCUGUUGGCGGGGCCGCUGGCUCUGGUAUCGGCUUUGUCGCCGCUGUCCAACGCGCUGGUGCUGCUUGAGGUCUUCAGAGCCAAGCUGCGCGCGCGCCCCAGGCGUGUUCCUGGGGAACCAGUCCCUGGACCACCUGCUGCUGCGGCCCUGGACUUGCCUUGACGCUGCUCCGCAUGCUGCGGGUGGUCGCGGUCGGGGCCUGGUGCGUACUAGGCGGUCCGCUCCCUGGACACUUUCUUGGAGUCCAACGCGGUGCUGAACUUGGUGGCGCUGAGCCCGGACCAGUGGCUGGCUGCGGGUUUUCCCACUGCGCUAGGAUAGGUGCCUGCGGACUGCGCACACCCAUCUGGUGCUGGUCUACGUGGGAACAGUCGUUGACCCUCGCUCCCUGCAUUCACCCGUUUGGCUACAGGUGCCUUCACGUCCUGCUCGCUGCCCUGGCUGCCACCCCAGCCUGAGCACCAGGUCUUCACCACUCUAGCCUCCCUGUGCGGUGCCACCAGCUGAGCCUGCAGCUCGUGGUGCUCAGCCUCGCCUAGCUCAGGAUGCUGCGGGUGGCACGCCGCCACUUUUGCUGCAGCAAUGUCUUCACCACGCAGGUAGCCUCCCCCGAGCCCCGCCCAGUGUGAGGGCCACAUCUGAGCUCCUGUACUCCCCUGGCAGGUGGCUCAGAGGAGCCUCCAGGUGCCAUCACCUGCUCAGGCCAGCCACGCUCGUGAGGCUUCCUCUGCAGGCUGCUCACCAGUUUCCACACUGGCUUGUUUGUACACUUCUCCACGUGUCCACAUAUUGGAAAGAACAGAUGCUUCUCAGCCUUGCAUCCAGAGAGGACAGGAGCUUUUGAAGCAAGCUCUAAGGUCUGUGCUGCAGGGGAGGGCUGCCCCUGCCCUGAUGUGGGGACUUGGCCAUGCCCCUCCUGGGGCAGGUGGAUGUCGAUCUGAAUACUUCCCACUUCUGCCCCACUGACCUGGGGACUCAAGUCUUGGGGUGGAUCUGGUGGGUUCUGUCUGUUCACUACCUGGCAUGCACAUGGUCCCUGAAUCCCCAGCUGGGGCCACUGCCGGGGGUUGCCUCCUCCAACCUGUGCACGGAGCUCCUGCAGCCCCUGCCACCUGCCACACCCCUCUCCAUGUCCUGCGGGUGCAGGUGGCUUCUCCCUCACCAAGGGUCCAACCUGAUCCUCCCUCAAAUCUUAGUUCCCUCUGCAUCCAGCGGAAGGAAAAGUGGGCAGGAGUGGGGCUUGGAGAGGGAGGGGGAGGACCCCCCCCCCCCCUCCAGGCCUCCACUAUUUCACAUUUACAGAAGAAAUUCACCUCUUUCCUGGUUCUUUCUCCGUCCUGUCCCUGGUCCCUGGCUCUGCAUCUGAACUCUUUGCCUCUGGGCUCGGCUCUGUCCCCUCCCUGCCCUCGGGGCUGUCCACUCCCCUCCCUGCAGCAGCGUGUGGCAGGGCAGAAGCAGGGCUGCAGUGAGGGGGGUGUGUGUGUCAGGAAGACCAGCAUCUCCAGUGGGUCCUUCUCCAUCUGCUUUGCCCCACUUGUUGUGACAAGGUGGGUCCUGGCUGUCAGGCCCCCCAUCCUGCGAGCUGCUGGGGAGGGGGCUCUGGCUCAUUUGGCAGAGGGCCCCUGUGGUCUCCAGCCAGAGACCCCAAAGGAAGCCCAUACCCACAGGCCCCUCCUCCACACCGGAGGUACCAGGGGCCUCGUCUCAGCUCUUGCCCAAAGCCAUGGGACUGAGCUGUCCCCAGCCCCACUUCCCAUGUUUUAAAUGAAGAGCCUGCUAUCCAGGGAGACUGACUGGGCACAGGCAGGUGUGGGGUCCGUCUGGGCCAGGACCUGGCCCUUUCUAAUCCUAGGAAGUUUUCAACAUUCGUUGCUCAACCUGGGAGCAAGCCGGACCUGAGAUCAGCUUCUCCUGGGCCUGGGUUGCAGGCAUCCUGUGUGGAGGGCCAGGCUGGGGCCGCAGGACUGUCACAGCAGGCUGAGUGGUCUCCUUGCUCCCCCUCUCAUCCCUUUCCCUGGAGACUCUGGCCUGGAGCUUGCAGAUCGGGGAAGAGUCUGUGUCAAGGGCCUGCUGGGUACCACUGUCACCAUCCUACGGUGAGGACACCGUGGGUCUGGGUUCCUGCCUACAGGGUUCUUGGGAUUCUUGUUCUGUGGCCAGGCCCCUGCUAUGGUCAGGCUCCCUGGUGGUUCUCACUUCCGCAGAAAGAGCCGAUUGUCCUCAGUCUCAUGGGGCUGGGUCACCCCUGGCCUAGGCCAUCAUGCAAGGAGGGCAAGCAGGCACCGGGUGCGGCGCUAUGCUCACAGCUUUGUCAUACAGCGUUUUCCUGCAGCGCCGGGACACCCCGCAAGGUCAGCCUGUCUGUUCAGGCCUCUGUUUCUUGAGGCCCCCUCGGGGUCCUUAGGUGUCAUUGGGAGGCGCCUGAGCUUCCGGGUGGUGGGCUCUCUCCUCUGCAUCAAGCUCCUGCUGAGAAUCAGCAGCUGCAGGCUCUGAGUCACGUGGCUCUUGGCCAUCCAUCCCAUCUGGCUCAAGGAUGUGGCGUGGGUUUCUCCUGGAUCCCAGGCGCUGUGCUUCCUCACGUGAACCUGCGAAGCCUCUGGUUUGAGGAAACUGCACGGGCGUCCUGGCAGGUGGAGAGAACAGCAGUGACGUCUUCCCCAUGAGCUGUGGUUUAUCAGAGCCGGAUCCUGACGGUGUGCACACGUGCCCAUGCUGCUGGCGCUCUGGCUCUUGGUCACCAUCGGCGCUCACUGGGGCUGCGGAGCAAGUACCUGACGACCCCGCCCCCAGCCCUUCCGUGUCCAUCAUCUGCUCUGCCUGCAGUCCCACCAGGUCCUGGUUGCGCCCACAGCACCUCUCUGGGCACAGAAAGGGCUUCCUUCUGCAGAGGACGCACUGAGGGCUGAGCCAGGCCUCAUUGGAGCCCAGCAGAUGGGGCACUGGUCCCUCCACAGAAAAGCCACUUGGGGUCCUGAAUAGUAGCAUAGCCGUGGGCAUAGGCUGUGGGGACGGCAGGUGGGGGGUGGAGCAGGUGGUACCGGUUGGGGAUGGUUUCAGUUCUGGGCUUGACCUCGUGGCUGCAGGGUGAUCCUGGGACAGCGGCUGGCCCUCUCUGAGCCUCUGUUUCCCCACCUCUCUGCUGGUGCUGGGUCAGCAGGCAACCUGUGUGGUGCCCGGCGUGCAGUGGGUCUCCUGUACGUGACAGUGGUGGUUGUGGGCAAGGUGGCUGUGCUUGCUUGGGGUCUGUUGCAGAGGCUCAGGUGAAGGCCUGUCAUUCCAGCCUAGGGGGCAGUACUGCCCCGUCGCUCUCAGAGACGUCCCAGUUUGGGGCUCCCAGACUUCACCUCUGACAAUCUGUGAUCAGGGUGGGACGAUCCAACACGGCAGGUGUGGGGUCCCUUUCAAAAGAAUCUAUUUCCUACAAAGGAUCGGAAUCCUGACUGGAGAGGGAGGUGACGAAUAGCUGUGUCACAGCCUUUUCUGACGAAGACGUAAGAGCACGUGGACCUGUCCCGUCUCCCAAGGCCACCAUCGGCCUCUGAUAAGGGUACGAUUUGGCCAAGAGGGUUGCAGCCGCGGGUUGAGCCCAGGUGUCUGGGGGUGGGGGGCCGUGGCCAGAGGGGGCGGGGGCUCCCUCCCCAGUUGCAGCCACUCUGCUCAGCCCUGGGGCCCAGAGAGGGUGGGGCUCCGCUUGAGUGGCAGCAUCAUCUCAGUUAGUGGUCAGGGGCCACUCCCGGGUGGGGCCACCUGCGUCGCUGUUGCCAAAUGGACCCAGGGCACAGCAUCCGGAAAUCACAAGCAGUUCUGUGCUAUUUACAGUUCAAGGGGAGAAAGAUACAAAGACAUUGGCCCUCAGCAGAGGGGGGCUGUCCUGGGGGAGAGAGCGAGCAAAUGAGUAAAGAAUGAAUAGACCGGAGUCCCUCUUCUGCUGGAGGCUUGCCAGACAUGCGUGUACACAGGCCACAGCGAAUCAAAGAAACGAGAUGGCGCUUGAAGAAGGACGCUAAUGUCGGCUUGCAAAAUAUACCAGACUUGCCCAGACCCCUGGGGAAAGGGAGUGAGGCGGGAAAUGCACAGCGGGCGAGGGCUGCUUGAAAGCAUGCGGCCGAAUACUCCAGAUGUCGUGAGGCGACGCCACUGACAUCUUGGUCUCAGGACCAGAACCCCGAGGGAGCGGGAGGAAAGGGCGGAAGAGCCUUAAGCAGAAACAACGUCAUCUUUCUCUGGAGGGUUGUAACCCUUCACAGCCUCUGUGAGAACAAAGGCUCUGGGCCUUGCACACCUGUAGCCGUGAUCAGUGCCAGUGUAAAUGCCAUGUGGGCUCCUGGACGUGCAAGGAAGGAGAAAGAGCCACUAAAACUCCUGCCUCGGCUCGGAGGGCGCCUAUUGCCGCUCGAAGGCGGGAGCCCCUGAUGCCCACUCUCUUUCUCUGUCUCUUCGUUCUGAAUUCUGCGGCACCGCUGACUUUAAGACCUGGGUUGACGAGCAGGUCUUGUCACUCUCCAAUCCCGUUCAUCACUCUUUCUCUCCUCCUGGCCCUGUGCCACCCCCCCACAGCCCGAGCAUGAUUGGGGGUGAGGGCGGGGGUGCCACGUGGUAAGAGGGACUCUCUGAUAGAGCCUCUUCCAUGGGAUUCUGCAAAGCCCGAGCCACCGGCCACCACCCAGGACCAGGGACAGGUGGGUCUUUGCAGACAGGCACACAGCAGUCAGCAAUUCUGGCCUCUCAAGGUGGGGAACAGUUUGUAGCCUGGUGGAGCUGCCCUGACAAAUUGUUUUCCAACUAACUGGCUGUGAUUGGCCACUUAGCCUGACUCUCCAGUGCCACCCCCCUGCAGGAUGUAUUUAAGUGCUUGUAAACCAUAAGGUGCAAGUCGGAUAAGGCAAAAUAUUUGGGGGAAUGAUAGCUAUAGAUACCUGGUCAGGAAGCAGUUAAAGAAUAAACCACCCAGACAGUUCAAUGAAAGGUAUUAUUCCAGCCCGGCGGUGGGUGACAAGUGUAAGAGGAGGUGGGGGCUUUACUGCCCCCCAAACCACAGGAGGCACGUGACCUAGAGCCCUGGGCUCCCCUGGGCACUCCCAGGGCCUAUGAUGGAGCACGAGGUCCCCUUGUCUGCCACUUCAGAGCUGGGCUGUACCCUCUCUCCUUCCUGGGAACUUCUCCCGGGUGGUAGAAGCAUGCCUGCCCACGGGGCUGGACCCUGUGCCACCCUGGGCACAGCACUUGCCAUGUUAAAAUCUGCUCCUACCGCCUUAAAUCCCUUUGAAAAACAUGUGUGUCCUGCCCAGUGGAAAAUGCCACGGUUGGAAAGAGAAAACGCGUGUUAGAGAUGGUGGCUCUUCCUCUCCUGUUUUGCCUUUCCUGAAGCCCCUGUGGAAUUUUCUAGAAGACCACUCAGGCACAGGCGCCUCUCAGGGGAAUGCUGUUAUUAGUUGUGCCUGGCAUUCUAGAACAUUCUGUCAGCUGAUGUGGCUCACUCACUGUGCUGUCUUUCACCUCGGGCUUGAGGUCUUCUUGUUUUAUUUUUUUUUGAAAGAUAAUUUCAUGUUCACUUAAAUGUAUUGCAAAACAUUGUCCUGAGAACUUUGAGAACCAAUAAACACUUUAUUCAAA